CACGUAGGCGGUCUGGCAAGUCAGGUGUGAAAGCCCUCGGCUUAACCGAGGAACUGCACCUGAAACUGCUGGACUAGAGUCCGGGAGAGGAGAGUGGAAUUCCCAGUGUAGCGGUGAAAUGCGUAGAUAUUGGGAGGAACACCUGUGGCGAAGGCGGCUCUCUGGACCGGUACUGACGCUGAGGUGCGAAAGCGUGGGGAGCAAACA
rnacentral:rRNA from 1 species